rnacentral:rRNA from 1 species
GACGAACGCUGGCGGCGUGCUUAACACAUGCAAGUCGAACGGAAAGGCCCUGCUUGCAGGGUACUCGAGUGGCGAACGGGUGAGUAACACGUGGGUGAUCUGCCCUGCACUUCGGGAUAAGCCUUGGAAACUGGGUCUAAUACCGGAUAGGAGCCAUUUUUAGUGUGAUGGUUGGAAAGUUUUUUCGGUGUAGGAUGAGCUCGCGGCCUAUCAGCUUGUUGGUGGGGUAAUGGCCUACCAAGGCGGCGACGGGUAGCCGGCCUGAGAGGGUGGACGGCCACAUUGGGACUGAGAUACGGCCCAGACUCCUACGGGAGGCAGCAGUGGGGAAUAUUGCACAAUGGGCGCAAGCCUGAUGCAGCGACGCCGCGUGGGGGAUGACGGCCUUCGGGUUGUAAACUCCUUUCGCUAGGGACGAAGCUUUUUGUGACGGUACCUAGAUAAGAAGCACCGGCUAACUACGUG